GGGGAAUAUUGGACAAUGGGGGCAACCCUGAUCCAGCGAUGCCGCGUGUGCGAAGAAGGCCUGCGGGUUGUAAAGCACUUUAGUUGGGGAAGAAGGUUGUAUGUUUAAUAGACAUAUGAAUUGACGUUACCCAAAGAAUAAGCACCGGCUAACUCUGUGCCAGCAGCCGCGGUAAUACAGAGGGUGCAAGCGUUAAUCGGAAUUACUGGGCGUAAAGGGCGCGUAGGCGGUUAUGUAAGUUAGAUGUGAAAUCCCCGGGCUUAACCUGGGAACUGCAUUUAAUACUGCAUAGCUAGAGUAGAGUAGAGGGAAGUGAAAUUUCCGGUGUAGCGGUGAAAUGCGUAGAUAUCGGAAAGAACAUCAGUGGCGAAGGCGGCUUCCUGGACUCAUACUGACGCUGAGGCGCGAAAGCAUGGGGAGCAAAC
rnacentral:rRNA from 1 species